rnacentral:tRNA from 1 species
ACCUGGGUGGCUCAGUCGGUUGAGCACCUGACUUCGGCUCAGGUCGUGACCUCAUGGUUCGUGAGUUCCAGCCCCGCGUCAGGCU